rnacentral:rRNA from 1 species
CCUACGGGCGACAGCGGUGAGGAAUAUUGGUCAAUGGACGAGAGUCUGAACCAGCCAAGUAGCGUGAAGGAUGACUGCCCUAUGGGUUGUAAACUUCUUUUAUAUGGGAAUAAAAUGUUCCACGUGUGGGAUUUUGUAUGUACCAUAUGAAUAAGGAUCGGCUAACUCCGUGCCAGCAGCCGCGGUAAUACGGAGGAUCCGAGCGUUAUCCGGAUUUAUUGGGUUUAAAGGGAGCGUAGGUGGAUUGUUAAGUCAGUUGUGAAAGUUUGCGGCUCAACCGUAAAAUUGCAGUUGAAACUGGCAGUCUUGAGUACAGUAGAGGUGGGCGGAAUUCGUGGUGUAGCGGUGAAAUGCUUAGAUAUCACGAAGAACUCCGAUUGCGAAGGCAGUUCACUGGACUGCAACUGACACUGAGGCUCGAAAGUGUGGGUAUCAAACAGGAUUAGAUACCCUGGUAGUC